UACGUAGGGCGCAAGCGUUGUCCGGAAUUAUUGGGCGUAAAGAGCUCGUAGGCGGCCUGUCGCGUCUGCUGUGGAAUCCCGGGGCUUAACCCCGGGCGUGCAGUGGAUACGGGCUGGCUGGAGGCAGGCAGGGGAGAAUGGAAUCCCCGGUGUAGCGGUGAAAUGCGCAGAUAUCGGGAGGAACACCGGUGGCGAAGGCGGUUCUCUGGGCCUGUUCUGACGCUGAGGAGCGAAAGCGUGGGGAGCGAUCGGG
rnacentral:rRNA from 1 species